rnacentral:rRNA from 1 species
GAGGAAACUCUAGCUAAUGCCGGAUGAGACCACGAUCCCUUCGGGGGUUGCGGCCAAAGAUGGCCUCUACUUGUAAGCUAUCGCUGAGGGAUGGGCCUGCGGGCCAUUAGCUUGUUGGUGAGGUAACGGCUCACCAAGGCUGUGAUGGCUAGCUGGUCUGAGAGGAUGACCAGCCACACUGGGACUGAGACACGGCCCAGACUCCUACGGGAGGCAGCAGUGGGGAAUAUUGCGCAAUGGGCGAAAGCCUGACGCAGCGACGCCGCGUGGGUGAUGAAGGCCUUCGGGUCGUAAAGCCCUGUCGCAGGGGAAGAAUAAGCAUCGGUAUAAUACGCCGGUGCCCUGACGGUACCCAGCAAGAAAGCACCGGCUAACUCCGUG